GAUGAACGCUAGCGGCAGGCCUAACACAUGCAAGUCGAGGGGUAGAGGUUGCUUGCAACCUUGAGACCGGCGCACGGGUGCGUAACGCGUAUGCAAUCUGCCUUGUACUGAGGGAUAGCCCAGAGAAAUUUGGAUUAAUACCUCAUAGUAUCUUUUCCCGGCAUCGGGAGAUUAUUAAAGUUCCAACGGUAUCAGAUGAGCAUGCGUCCCAUUAGCUAGUUGGUAUGGUAACGGCAUACCAAGGCAAUGAUGGGUAGGGGUCCUGAGAGGGAGAUCCCCCACACUGGUACUGAGACACGGACCAGACUCCUACGGGAGGCAGCAGUGAGGAAUAUUGGUCAAUGGGCGCAAGCCUGAACCAGCCAUGCCGCGUGCAGGAUGAAGCAUCUAUGGUGUGUAAACUGCUUUUAUACGGGAAGAAACACCGGUUCGUGAACCGGCUUGACGGUACCGUAAGAAUAAGGAUCGGCUAACUCCGUGCCAGCAGCCGCGGUAA
rnacentral:rRNA from 1 species